CCCCUGCUGUUAGUUGGCAACGGGCAAGCCGGCCACUCUAACGGGACUGCCGGUGACAAAUCGGAGGAAGGUGGGACGACGUCAAAUCAUCAUGCCCCUUAUGUCCUGGGCUACACACGUACUACAAUGGCUGAUACAGAGGGAAGCGAAGCCGUAAGGCAGAGCAAUCCCUUAAAGCAGUCUCAGUUCAGAUUGCGGGCUGCAACCCGCCCGCAUGAAGUAGGAAUUGCUAGUAAUGGCAGGUCAGCAUACUGCCGUGAAUACGUUCCCGGGCCUU
rnacentral:rRNA from 1 species